rnacentral:rRNA from 1 species
UACGUAGGGACCAAGCGUUGUUCGGAUUUACUGGGCGUAAAGGGCGCGUAGGCGGCGUGACAAGUCACUUGUGAAAUCUCCGGGCUUAACUCGGAACGGCCAAGUGAAACUGUCAUGCUAGAGUGCAGAAGGGGCAAUCGGAAUUCCUGGUGUAGCGGUGAAAUGCGCAGAUAUCAGGAGGAACACCGGUGGCGAAGGCGGGUCUCUGGGCAACAACUGACGCUAAGGCGCGAAAAGCGUGGGGAGCGAACAGG